rnacentral:lncRNA from 1 species
CUCUGCAAAUGAAUAACAAUGUCGUAACCAGAAGCUUGGUGCUUAUAACAAGUAAAAAGCCGCCAUCACAAGGAAUAAAACGUGAUAAAUUAGACCAAUCUUGGAAGCCACACUGGCUGCACCAGUAGCUGGCGAAUAGCUUCCUUCAGGUGUGCCUGUUGUGAGAACAACUACUAUCCAGUCUCCAUCGGAACCAAUCCCAACUCCUGUAUACUUGGUGUCAUUGAGGUUAUCAUUAUACUGAGACUGUGUAAAGUUAGUGAGUACAAGAUUUGGAACUAGGUUAGGAACACAAGCAGGCAUUACUGCUCCAUCCCUUGUGUUGGAGACACAUUCAAAUGGCAUUUGGCCAGAAGGUUUGGGUAGUUGGCAAACUGCGGUUCAGUGCCUGGAACGGUGUUGGCACCGGUGGAGUUUGUGCAAGGUUGGUUCUUAAAUUGAUCUGCUAGUUCAUCAGCAAGGCACUCGGCAUUGUCAUUUUUCUUCAGAAUUGUCAAGUUCAAUGAAGCCCGGUAAUCGUUUAUGCCUUUAAGAAGAUUAUCCUCCUCAUCUGUAAAUGGUCAAGAAUAAAGUCGGUGAUUACAUAUAAUAUUUUACUGCCAUUUCGUAUUAGAAAGAAUAAACAAAAAAGUUCUAUUUUGGGUGUGAACCAAAAUGCAAAGAAGAUCGAUUUUCUUCGCCUCUUGAAACAAAAAGAAAAUCAUAGUUACAUGGCAGAAAAUUUCCAGCAAAAUAAGUUUAUAUCCUCCCAUGUAGCUAAAUUGCUGAACAGCUAAACAUCAGAAAGAUCCAGUACUGCAACUCAUGAAGUUACUCAAAAUUCAAACCAAGUAAUCCAUACAAAAGCCAAAUCUCAUCAGUCAGCUUAGGAUAUCAGAGAGAAAACAACAUUUUUAUUCAAAGGGGAAACCAUACAGGCUAAUAAAACCCAGAUUUCUAGCUAUAUGACUGCACUCUAGACCCUCCAAACAAAGUCAAUCUGAACCCGCAUCUAAUUCAAAUUUGAUGGCUCAUAUUAGCCAUAGUUAUGAUGGUCAGAGCUCAAGGUUAGGUUUAGGACUGUAAUACAGCUGAGUCAAAAAUCGGAUCCAGCUCAGUUAAGUACCAUUUUUUGAGAUAGAGCUUUGCUCUAGAUGAAAUCGAACUAUUUUUCAUACAGGAAGGACAACUAGAAAUCUGCAUUCUGCUGGAACAGUGAGUCCGAAAAUUCUAAGACAUAUUACAUGAAAAAUUAGGGAAGUGUUUACUUGGUGCACCAGUAGCUGGCGAAUAGCUUCCUUCAGGUGUGCCUGUUGUGAGAACAACUACUAUCCAGUCUCCAUCGGAACCAAUCCCAACUCCUGUAUACUUGGUGUCAUUGAGGUUAUCAUUAUACUGAGACUGUGUAAAGUUAGUGAGUACAAGAUUUGGAACUAGGUUAGGAACACAAGCAGGCAUUACUGCUCCAUCCCUUGUGUUGGAGACAUUCAAAUGGCAUUUGGCCAGAAGGUUUGGGUAGUUGGCAAACUGCGGUUCAGUGCCUGGAACGGUGUUGGCACCGGUGGAGUUUGUGCAAGGUUGGUUCUUAAAUUGAUCUGCUAGUUCAUCAGCAAGGCACUCGGCAUUGUCAUUUUUCUUCAGAAUUGUCAAGUUCAAUGAAGCCCGGUAAUCGUUUAUGCCUUUAAGAAGAUUAUCCUCCUCAUCUGUAAAUGGUCAAGAAUAAAGUCGGUGAUUACAUAUAAUAUUUUACUGCCAUUUCGUAUUAGAAAGAAUAAACAAAAAAGUUCUAUUUUGGGUGUGAACCAAAAUGCAAAGAAGAUCGAUUUU